AUAAUACUCCAUAGAUUAUGGAAUCUGGAAUGAUCCAUAGUCGAAAGUUCCGGCGCUUAAGGAUUGGUCUGCGGCCUAUCAGGUAGUAGUGGGUGUAACGGACCCACUAGCCGAUGACGGGUAUGGGCCUUGAGAGAGGGAGCCCAGAGAUGGAUUCUGAGACACGAAUCCAGGCCCUACGGGGCGCAGCAGUCGCGAAAACUUCACAAUGGAGGCAACUCCGAUGAGGGAAUUCCUAGUGCCAAUGCAUUUUGUGUUGGCUUUUCUUCAGCGUAGAUAACUGAUGGAAUAAGGGCUGGGUAAGACGGGUGCCAGCCGCCGCGGUAAUACCCGCAGCCCAAGUGGUGGUCGAUAUUAUUGAGUCUAAGACGUUCGUAGCCGGUUCAAUAAAUCUCUGGGUAAAUCGGAGGGCUCAACCUUCCGAAUUCCGGAGCGACUGUUGAACUUGGGACCGGGAGAGGCAAGAGGUACUUCUGGGGUAGGGGUAAAAUCCUGUAAUCCUAGAAGGACCACCGGUGGCGAAGGCGUCUUGCUAGAACGGAUCCGACGGUGAGGGACGAAGCCCUGGGUCGCAAACGGGAUUACAUACCCCGGUAGUCCAGGGUGUUAACGCUGCAGACUUGGUGU
rnacentral:rRNA from 1 species